rnacentral:tRNA from 2 species
CGGAGCGUAGCGUAGCCUGGUAGCGCGCUCGCCUGGGGGGCGAGAGGUCGUGGGUUCGAAUCCCGCCGCUCCGACCA